AGAUUGAACGCUGGCGGCAGGCCUAACACAUGCAAGUCGAGCGGUAGAGAGGUGCUUGCAUCUCUUGAGAGCGGCGGACGGGUGAGUAAUGCCUAGGAAUCUGCCUAGUGGUGGGGGAUAACGUUCGGAAACGGACGCUAAUACCGCAUACGUCCUACGGGAGAAAGCGGGGGACCUUCGGGCCUCGCGCCAUUAGAUGAGCCUAGGUCGGAUUAGCUAGUUGGUGAGGUAAUGGCUCACCAAGGCGACGAUCCGUAACUGGUCUGAGAGGAUGAUCAGUCACACUGGAACUGAGACACGGUCCAGACUCCUACGGGAGCAGCAGUGGGAAUAUUGGACAAUGGGCAAAGCCUGAUCCAGCCAUGCCGCGUGUGUGAAGAAGGUCUUCGGAUUGUAAAGCAACUUUAAGUUGGGAGAAGGUUGUAACCUAAGUACGUUGACUAACUUGACGUUACCGACAGAAUAAGCACGGCUAAACGUUCGUGCCAGCAGCCGUACG
rnacentral:rRNA from 1 species